rnacentral:rRNA from 1 species
GUAGGUGAACCUGCGGAAGGAUCAUUAACACUAAUCCAAAACCUGAACUUAUAUUUGAGUUGCUCUGCGAGAGACUUCGGUCCUUUUGCUAAGCAGCUUCAAACUACUAACCUAAAGGAGCCUAACUAAGCUCAACCACUAUCUAAAUUCUUAACGAUGGAUAUCUUGGUUCCCGCGACGAUGAAGAACGCAGCGAAGUGCGAUAAGCAAUGCGAAUUGCAGAACCGUGAGUCAUCAGAUUUUUGAACGCAACUGGCGCUGGUUGGUUCUCCGGCCAGCAUGCUUGUCUCAGUGUCUUAUUACCCCUCACCCAAAUCUUAAUGCUUGAGAUACCCUUCUCUUGCUAAGCUCGAAGGCGUUCUGCCCUCUGCACGUGGCUUCGGUCACAACUCAAUGCAGUAGUCACAUUGCUCACAAUGUGAACUCAUUGAGAGCGGAGGCAGUGUAAGGACUUCGGUCUUUGCGAUCGCCUAGUCGAUCAAACUUUAAAUUGUAUCUGAGAUCAAGUAGGACCACCCGCUGAACUUAAGCAUAUCACUA